CGGCGGCGGGUCCGGCAUGGCUGCGGUAGGCUGAGAGGCCGGGGAACCGAGCACUGCCGGGGAAAGGGGCAGAGCCUGGUGGGACAGAGGCCGAAGGAGGCUGCUCCCACGCGGGGCAUCCACACCCCACUCCGCUUCCAGAAAUGUCUAAUGCAAGAGAGAAGAAACGUGCCAAGAAAAUGAGAAAUCAACCUGCCAGUGUCACUUUAUCUUCUGAUUGUGGACCAUGUCAUAGUGGAAUACAGCACCAUAAUGGGGGAAGUAGAUCUUUUCAAACUCCGAAACAAGCAGAUCUCCAUCCAGAUAGUUCACAGGAGUAUCAGCAGCAGAGACAUCAACAUCAGUCUCCUGGACCUUCGUACAGGAAAGAACAAUCUUUUUCUAAGGGGCAAAAUAGAGGUGAGAGAGGUAGAGGAAGAG
rnacentral:lncRNA from 1 species